AUUGAACGCUGGCGGCAUGCCUUACACAUGCCAGUCGAACGGCAGCGCGGACUUCGGUCUGGCGGCGAGUGGCGAACGGGUGAGUAAUACAUCGGAACGUACCCUGUUGUGGGGGAUAACUAGUCGAAAGAUUAGCUAAUACCGCAUACGACCUGAGGGUGAAAGUGGGGGAUCGCAAGGCCUCACGCAGCAGGAGCGGCCGAUGUCUGAUUAGCUAGUUGGUGGGGUAAAGGCCCACCAAGGCGACGAUCAGUAGCUGGUCUGAGAGGACGAUCAGCCACACUGGGACUGAGACACGGCCCAGACUCCUACGGGAGGCAGCAGUGGGGAAUUUUGGACAAUGGGGGCAACCCUGAUCCAGCAAUGCCGCGUGUGUGAAGAAGGCCUUCGGGUUGUAAAGCACUUUUGUCCGGAAAGAAAUCGCGCUGGUUAAUACCUGGCGUGGAUGACGGUACCGGAAGAAUAAGCACCGGCUAACUACGUG
rnacentral:rRNA from 1 species